rnacentral:rRNA from 1 species
CGCGGCCUAUCAGCUUGUUGGCGAGGUAACGGCUCACCAAGGCAACGACGGGUAGCUGGUCUGAGAGGACGAUCAGCCACACUGGGACUGAGACACGGCCCAGACUCCUAUGGGAGGCAGCAGUGGGGAAUCUUGCACAAUGGGUGAAAGCCUGAUGCAGCAACGCCGCGUGGGGGAUGAAGGCUCUCGGGUUGUAAACCCCUUUCAGCAGGGACGAAUCUGACGGUACCUGCAGAAGAAGCCCCGGCCAACUACGUGCCAGCAGCCGCGGUAACACGUAGGGGGCAAGCGUUGUCCGGAUUUAUUGGGCGUAAAGAGCUCGUAGGCGGUUUGGUGAGUCGGGUGUGAAAUCUCCACGCUCAACGUGGAGGGGCCACCCGAUACUGCCAUGACUAGAGUCCGGUAGGGGAGUGUGGAAUUCCCGGUGUAGCUGUGAAAUGCGCAGAUAUCGGGAGGAACACCAGUAGCGAAGGCGACACCCUGGGCCGGUACUGACGCUGAGGAGCGAAAGCGUGGGGAGCAAACAGGAUUAGAUACCCUGGUAGUCCACGCUGUAAACGUUGGGCACUAGGUGUGGGACUCUAUCGACGGGUUCCGUGCCGUAGCUAACGCAUUAAGUGCCCCGCC